rnacentral:rRNA from 1 species
CUAAAAACCUAGCCCAACAAACAUGAAUUUUACCAAAUUAACUAAACCCCUCUUAACAAACCAUUUUAAUAUUCUAGUAAAGGAGAUUGAAAAACUUAUUUGGAGCUAUAAAAACAGUACCGCAAGGGAACGGUGAAAUAUUAUGAAAAACUUCAAGCAGCAAAAAGUAAAGAUUACCUCUUGUACCUUUCGCAUCAUGGUUUAACUAGUCUAACCAAGCAAAACGUAUUUAAGUUUGACUUCCCGAAACUAAGUGAGCUACUUCAGGGCAGCUAGAAGAGCAAACCCGUCUCUGUAGCAAAAGAGUGGGACGACCCUCAAGUAGUGGUGACAGACCUAACGAACUUAGUGAUAGCUGGUUGCUCAAGAAACGGAUUUAAGUCCAACCUGAAAGUUUUAUAACCUAAGUUCAUCAAAACAAUCACCUAGCUUUCAGCGUAAUUCAAAUAAGGUACAGCCUAUUUGAAACAGGAUACAACCUAGCCUAGUGGAUAAGAUCAGCCUAACAUACAAUCAAGUGGGCCUAAAAGCAGCCACCUUUAAUACAGCGUCAAAGCUAAAUUGUAACUGAGCCCAAUUACUUAACCCAUAUCUUAAUCCCCUGCCAAUACUGAGUAAUUCUAUAAUAUUAUAGAAAUUUUUAUGUUAAAACUAGUAACAAGAAGAAGAUU